rnacentral:lncRNA from 1 species
CAGCAUGAUGUGCAUUGGGUUUGGAGAUGUCUGAUCAUGUUCUAACUGUGCCUGAGAAAACUGCAGGUAUCUUGGAAUCUCAACAAACAAGUGUUCUGGGUUUCAAGAGCUCUCUUCUUUGAGACAUAAGGACCCAGAGGUCGGAAUGCCACUGGGUCUGUUGGGUUGCAGAGAGACCAUCUACUCCAAGAGGUUCUGCUGGUGCUUCCUGCUUCGUGGUGAUGCCCAGCAGUGACUAAGGAUCACUGAGAUUCAAAAUUAUACCCUCGGUGCCUGCUAAGAAGCAAAAAGCCAAGGCCCCUCGCAUCAUUUUGAGAAUGCCAGAAGAACAGAAUAUUAAGAAUGAGAUUUCUUGGCCUGGUAGUGGUGGCGCACGCCUUUAAUCCCAGCACUCGGGAGGCAGAGGCAAGCAGACUUCUGUG